rnacentral:rRNA from 1 species
UUGAACGCUGGCGGCAGGCCUAACACAUGCAAGUCGAGCGGUAACAUUUCUAGCUUGCUAGAAGAUGACGAGCGGCGGACGGGUGAGUAAUGCUUGGGAACAUGCCUUUAGGUGGGGGACAACAGUUGGAAACGACUGCUAAUACCGCAUAAUGUCUACGGACCAAAGUGGGGGACCUUCGGGCCUCACGCCUAAAGAUUGGCCCAAGUGGGAUUAGCUAGUUGGUGAGGUAAUGGCUCACCAAGGCGACGAUCCCUAGCUGGUUUGAGAGGAUGAUCAGCCACACUGGGACUGAGACACGGCCCAGACUCCUACGGGAGGCAGCAGUGGGGAAUAUUGCACAAUGGGCGCAAGCCUGAUGCAGCCAUGCCGCGUGUGUGAAGAAGGCCUUCGGGUUGUAAAGCACUUUCAGUAAGGAGGAAAGGUUGGAUGUUAAUAGCAUUCAGCUGUGACGUUACUACAGAAGAA